AGCGGAUUAGCGGCGGACGGGUGAGUAACACGUGAGUAACCUGCCUUAGACAUUGGGAUAGCCUCGGGAAACCGGGAUUAAUACCAAAUAAAAUCAUAAUGACACAUGUCAUAACGAUCAAAACUCCGGUGGUCUAAGAUGGACUCGCGUCCCAUUAGCUAGUUGGUAGAGUAAAGCCUACCAAGGCGACGAUGGGUAGCCGGCCUGAGAGGGUGAACGGCCACAUUGGAACUGAGAAACGGUCCAA
rnacentral:rRNA from 1 species